rnacentral:rRNA from 1 species
AACGGGGGGAGCAAGCGUUAAUUCAUCAUGAUUGGGCGUAAAGGUGGUUCGUAAGCGGCGCUUAGAGUUAUAAGUAAAAGUCUUAAAGGAAUUGAGGAAAAAACUUAUAAACACUUUUGUUGCUAAUUUUUUGAGUUCGUUGUAUGAUUAUAGUACCCGCAAAGAAGGGGUGAAAUCCAUAGAGAUUGUAGGGGACUCGCAAUAUGGUGAAAACGGGUUUUCGUAGACGAAACUGACGCUCAGGCACGAAAGCGUGGGGAGCAAAAGGGAGUUAGAAAGCCC